UAUGAGAGCGGCGUACGGGUGCGUAACACGUGUGCAACCUGCCUUUAUCUGGGGGAUAGCCUUUCGAAAGGAAGAUUAAUACCCCAUAAUAUAUUGAUUGGCAUCAAUUAAUAUUGAAAGCUCCGGCGGAUAGAGAUGGGCACGCGUAAGAUUAGCUAGUUGGUGAGGUAACGGCUCACCAAGGCUGCGAUCUUUAGGGGGCCUGAGAGGGUGAUCCCCCACACUGGUACUGAGACACGGACCAGACUCCUACGGGAGGCAGCAGUGAGGAAUAUUGGACAAUGGGUGAAAGCCUGAUCCAGCCAUCCCGCGUGAAGGACUAAGGACCUAUGGUUUGUAAACUUCUUUUAUACAGGGAUAAACCUACUCUCGUGAGGGUAGCUGAAGGUACUGUAUGAAUAAGCACCGGCUAACUCCGUGCCAGCAGCCGCGGUAAUACGGAGGGUGCAAGCGUUAUCCGGAUUUAUUGGGUUUAAAGGGUCCGUAGGCGGGUCGAUAAGUCAGUGGUGAAAGCCUGCAGCUUAACUGUAGAACUGCCGUUGAUACUGUCGGUCUUGAGUGUAUUUGAGGUAGCUGGAAUGAGUAGUGUAGCGGU
rnacentral:rRNA from 1 species